AAGUAGCCCAGUACUUAUUAUACACRAACCAGGAGCCUUCAAAGCCCCAAAAAGUGACUUUCCACUAGAACCUG
rnacentral:tRNA from 1 species